rnacentral:rRNA from 1 species
GACGAACGCUGGCGGCGUGCUUAACACAUGCAAGUCGAACGAAGUGGCGCACGGGUGAGUAACGCGUAAUCAACCUGCCCUUCAGAGGGGGACAACAGUUGGCAACGACUGCUAAUACCGCAUACUGAAGGUGGGGAUUGCGUCUGAUUCGCUCGUGGGAGGGGUAACGGCCCACCAAGGCGAUGAUCAGUAGCCGGGCUGAGAGGAUGAACGGCCACAGUGGGACGGGGACACGGGCCAGACGCCUACGGGAGGCAGCAGUGGGGAAGCUUCCGCAAUGGACGAAAGUCUGACGGAGCAACGCCGCGUGAGUGAUGACGGCCUUCGGGUUGGAAAGCUCUGUUAAGCGGGACGCGGUACCGGAAGAGAAAGCCACGGCUAACUACGUGCCAGCAGCCGCGGUAAUUC